CCACCAGUGGCACUAUGAUCGAGCCCAGGAAUUCCAGCCUGGUUCGGCAAGGGUGGAAACUUGACUUUUAAAGUCAGUUAACUCUUGCCUCGGGAAGAUGCUUGGCUGGGAAUUGUUCUGUAUAGUCCCUGCCAUCUAACAGCCUGUAACCGCGCACUGCCAGGGGCUAGUGUAUUGUGCCUAGUAUGUCCAGUAUGUAUUGAUAAAAUUAGUGUUAACAAAUAGGUUUAAAAUAGGUUGACAUGAUCAGGGACUAUUUCUGUCUGUGCUCCUGACAUGGAAGAGUGGGUCAUUGUUGUUGUAGAUGAAAGCGAGUGAAUAUUGUAUACUAUAAGUCACCAUACUUGCCAACUGGACCAUUGUCUGAAACUUUAGGCUUUAGGAACAAUGAACCUGUGAUCUAGUGCUUCAACUGUUGGAGUUCCUUCUCAAAGGCUUGGUGUGGAGACUUUGAUACCAGACUCCUUUCACAAAGAAUCUAGAAUAGAUCCAGAUAGAUCAGGUCCUCCCUCCCAAAACUUUAUCAGGCGACUCAAUGGAUCAGGUGGUCAGGCUUGCUGACUUGGGUAGUACUGGUUAUUGGACUUAAAUGGACCAGGUGGUCAGGCUUGCUGACUUGGGUAGUACUGGUUAUUGGACUUAAAUGGAUCAGAUGGUCAGGCUUGAUGACUUGGGUAGUACUGGUUAUUGGACUUAAAUGGAUCAGGUGGUCAGGCUUGAUGACUUGGGUAGUACUGGUUAUUGGACUUAAAUGGAUCAGGUGGUCAGGCUUGCUGACUUGGGUAGUACUGGUUAUUGGACUUAAAUGGAUCAGGUGGUCAGGCUUGCUGACUUGGGUAGUACUGGUUAUUGGACUUAAAUGGAUCAGGUGGUCAGGCUUGCUGACUUGGGUAGUACUGGUUAUUGGACUUAAAUGGAUCAGGUGGUCAGGCUUGCUGACUUGGGUAGGACUGGUUAAUGGACUUAAAUGGAUCAGGUGGUCAGGCUUGCUGACUUGGGUAGUACUGGUUAUUGGACUUAAAUGGACCAGGUGGUCAGGCUUGCUGACUUGGGUAGUACUGGUUAUUGGACUUAAAUGGAUCAGGUGGUCAGGCUUGCUGACUUGGGUAGUACUGGUUAUUGGACUUAAAUGGAUCAGGUGGUCAGGCUUGCUGACUUGGGUAGUACUGGUUAUUGGACUUAAAUGGAUCAGGUGGUCAGGCUUGCUGACUUGGGUAGUACUGGUCAUUGGACUUAAAUGGAUCAGGUGGUCAGGCUUGCUGACCUGGGUAGUACUGGUUAUUGGACUUAAAUGGAUCAGGUGGUCAGGCUUGCUGACUUGGGUAGUACUGGUUAUUGCCCUGCAUGGUCAGGCUUCUCAGGUAGAUCAAUAAAUUAAGAAUCAAUUGUAGCUGCUAUUUUUAUUUCCAUACAAAAAAAAUGCCUCUUGGUAACCAAACAUGCUACGAUCGAGUGUUCCAGCAAGUCAAUGCUUCAAUGCUGUUUCCUCGGUUUAAAUUGACGUGCAUAAGUUGCUUUGAAUACCUGCAAUAUUGCUGAUGUGGCAUUAAGCAGUAUUUGCCUACUCAUAAGUCGUUCAUCUGACCAACAUAAUAAAUAACAUUCAAUGAAACUAUCCAGGACAACAAGGAUCAGUGUGGUGUGUAGUGAAGCACAACACAAGUUGUAGUUACCAAUGCCUGUGGCAGAAUUACACGUCUAUCCCCAGCUAAUCACUGCACCCACUCAUAAGUGGUUUAACGCUUGCAAUUUGCAUAUUAGUUAUGUUAUGAAAUUUCCACUUUCAGCCAAUUGGUAAAUUAUAGACCCAUAGUCCUUACAAGUUAAAAUAGAAUCUCAAAAUAUCACGCUGAUAUAUUAGUGAUGACUGCUAAUACUUUUAAAAUGACAACACGCAAUUUUGGCGAUGAGGAAUAUUACUCACCACUCUUACAGUAAUUGCAAUAUGCAAUUACUGUAAAAAAAUAUCCACUUUGCUUGCGAUAAAAAUCAAGUUUUUAUCACAUGGUUACAAUCCGGGUAAGAAUCGACUGUCACCAUGGCAGUGAACAUGGCCAAUAGCGCUUACAGCAUCUGCGCAUUAUUUUCAAAAUGAGGUUGGAUAGUAGGCUGAUUGUUUUUGUAAAUUUCUGUAACUGAGAGAUAGAUCAACAUGAAAGGGAUGACAUUAGUUUCAAUUUUGUUGUGAAGAAAAAGCUAUAGUCAGAUUGUUUGUGAAAUAUGGCCCCCUUUUCUGAGCAAUAUUGGUCUCCUGGCUCUGAAUUCCGAAAACAAGGCUCUUGUUCCCUGGAACUGGUUCCUUGAUCCAAAAAUCUUAUCUACCAACCCCAAGCUCAGUGACAAUAUAUUUGCAGAUAGUAUGUGUAACUACUUUUAUCUA